rnacentral:rRNA from 1 species
UACAGAGGUGGCAAGCGUUGUUCGGAAUUACUGGGCGUAAAGGGCGCGUAGGCGGCCCGUCAAGUCCCGUGUGAAAGCCCCCGGCUCAACCGGGGAACGGCGCGGGAAACUAGCAGGCUUGAGUUCGGGAGAGGGAAGCGGAAUUCCGGGUGUAGAGGUGAAAUUCGUAGAUAUUCGGAAGAACACCAGUGGCGAAGGCGACUUACUGGACACAUAUUGACGCUGAGGUGCGAAAGCGUGGGGAGCAAACAGG